GCGAACGCUGGCGGCGUGCUUAACACAUGCAAGUCGAACGGAAAGGCCCUUCGGGGUACUCGAGUGGCGAACGGGUGAGUAACACGUGGGUGAUCUGCCCUGCACUUUGGGAUAAGCCUGGGAAACUGGGUCUAAUACCGAAUAUGACCAUGCACUUCCUGGUGUGUGGUGGAAAGCUUUUGCGGUGUGGGAUGGGCCCGCGGCCUAUCAGCUUGUUGGUGGGGUAAUGGCCUACCAAGGCGACGACGGGUAGCCGGCCUGAGAGGGUGACCGGCCACACUGGGACUGAGAUACGGCCCAGACUCCUACGGGAGAGCAGCAGUGGGGAAUAUUGCACAAUGGGCGCAAGCCUGAUGCAGCGACGCCGCGUGAGGGAUGACGGCCUUCGGGUUGUAAACCUCUUUCAAUAGGGACGAAGCGCAAGUGACGGUACCUAUAGAAGAAGGACCGGCCAACUACGUGCCAGCAGCCGCGGUAAUACGUAGGGUCCGAGCGUUGUCCGGAAUUACUGGGCGUAAAGAGCUCGUAGGUGGUUUGUCGCGUUGUUCGUGAAAACUCACAGCUUAACUGUGGGCGUGCGGGCGAUACGGGCAGACUAGAGUACUGCAGGGGAGACUGGAAUUCCUGGUGUAGCGGUGGAAUGCGCAGAUAUCAGGAGGAACACCGGUGGCGAAGGCGGGUCUCUGGGCAGUAACUGACGCUGAGGAGCGAAAGCGUGGGGAGCGAACAGGAUUAGAUACCCUGGUAGUCCACGCCGUAAACGGUGGGUACUAGGUGUGGGUUUCCUUCCUUGGGAUCCGUGCCGUAGCUAACGCAUUAAGUACCCCGCCUGGGGAGUACGGCCGCAAGGCA
rnacentral:rRNA from 1 species